GUUCGUUAAACCCUCCCACCUAGAGAAGGAGAAGUCGUAACAAGGUUUCCGUAGGUGAACCUGCGGAAGGAUCAUUGAAUCUAUCGUGCCCACACCGCGAAACUACUUAUGCCCUUCUGGAACAGGCAAACUUUAUUGUUUGCCCUUCAGUUGCGCAGGUCAGGGGCUGGCUCCUUUUGGUGUCAGUUGACUUGACUGGGCGGGUCCAAUACCAGCCGGAUUCACCUUGCCUUCUAGGCUUGGGGUUCUGCCGGCUGUGAGGGGUGGCUGUUUAACUCACUUUAAGCAAUCAAUUCUGAAGGCAGAUCUAUAGGCUGGCUAUGCUGGCUGUAGUCUGAUUAAAUAUAGACAACUCUCAACAACGGAUAUCUUGGCUCCCGUAACGAUGAAGAACGCAGCGAAAUGCGAUACGUAGUGUGAAUUGCAGAAUUCCGUGAACCAUCGAAUCUUUGAACGCAAAUUGCGCUCGAGGCCUCGGCCAAGAGCAUGUCUGCCUCAGCGUCGGCUACUACCCUCAACUAAGUUUCCUAUACACAUAGGGGAUGCCGGUUGGAUCUGGCCGUCCGGUUUGCCUUUUAGGUUGCCGGUCAGCUGAAAUACAUUCACGCUCUGGGGGCUGCUUUCCUUCCGAGGAGAGGCGAGUUCCGAUUUGGUAGGUGACCUUUGCCGGUUGCAUGCCUUCGUUGCCCGCUAAGCUUUCCAGUAUGCGUUGUGCAGGACGCCUUUUGGCUUUCGACCUGAGGUCAGGCAAGNACACCCG
rnacentral:rRNA from 1 species